UCCCUGAUAGCUCAGUGGUAGAGAAUCUGCUUGCCAGUGCAGGAGACAUGGGUUCCAUUCCCUGGUCUGGGAA
rnacentral:tRNA from 1 species